UACGGAGGGUGCGAGCGUUAUUCGGAAUUACUGGGCGUAAAGCGUGCGUAGACGGUUAUUUAAGUCGGGGGUGAAAGCCCCGGGCUCAACCUGGGAAUUGCAUUCGAGACUGAAUAGCUAGGGUACGGUAGAGGGAAGUGGAAUUUCCGGUGUAGCGGUGAAAUGCGUAGAUAUCGGAAGGAACAUCAGUGGCGAAAGCGACUUCCUGGACCAGUACUGACGUUCAGGCACGAAAGCGUGGGGAGCAAACAGG
rnacentral:rRNA from 1 species